UAUAGUUUCUUAUGUUUAAUGAAAACAAUCAGGUAUGGCAUAGAGCAGGAGUACACCUUGUUGAAAAAAUGUGUAAAAUGGCCACAUUUGACAUAUCUUUUGUUUGUGAAUUUGCAGUCUCUACUUGUAUGAUAUCUAUGCUGUAACUUUGAUUUAAUCUCAAGUUUUUUUGGAUUCCUCUGUUCCCAAAAUGAGAAAUUGUGGCCUCUUGUUGGUCAUCCUGGACAUUUCAUGUAUCACCUCACUUGUUAGCAGAAGCAACAGAACUAAGCCAGGUUCUUUAGGGUGGGGUUGCAUUUACUUUAAACAACAUGAUUACUGGGCUGUGGUGAAAUAUGGGACCAUACUACUGUGGUGUUGGUGCUGCAAGGCUAGGCCUUUGGCCAUGCUAUUUUGGAUGCUCAUUACAAAGCCUAUCUAUAUGCUGGCAUCAACAUCAGUGGCACCAAUGGAGAAGUAAUGUCUGGCCAAGUAAAAAUACUUUCUAUUUUUGUUUUCGUUUUUAACGAGAUUCUGCUGUUUUGGUCUAAUCCAAUCUAUUGGCUUCCAUUGAAUGUUAUGUUUAGAUUGUUUCUGAGUCUCUCUUUGUGGGGAUUAUUUUUGCAUUCUUAUAAUUUUGUUUGUGUAUUAACUUUAUUGGAGCAUUGUGUUUCCUAACUAUAGGUAUCAUGUGAAUGUGAUCUAUAAGUAGGGAUUUUUCUUAACAUUUUCCUUGGUAUAGUAUGGCUUGAACGUAAUUCCUUGUAGUUGUGCAAAAUUCCCUUCAUAGUUCUGUACGUAGUUAUGGCAUCUCCUCUUGUUUGGUUUCUGGUGAAUUCAGCAGCAAGUCCAUGAGAAGUGAUGGAGGGUACGAAGCCACCAAAAAAAGGCCAUUGAAAAGCUAGUGUAGAGGCACAAGGAACACAUUGCAGCUUAUGGGUAAGGAAACGAGCACCGUCUCACUGGAAAGAACAAGACAGCAGACAUGAACAACUUCAUUUGGGGAGUAGCAAGCAAUGGAGCCACCAUUAGAGUUGGUAGAGAGAGAGAGAGAGAGAGAGACAGAGACAGAGACAGAGAAAGCUGGCAAAGAUUAUUUUGAGGACAGGAGGGCAGCUUCUAACAUGGAUCCAAAUGUGGUCACCUCCAUGAUAGCUGAGAUCACCACCAUCGUCUGGCAUCCAUGAGAAGAUUAUUCAAACAUUCCCCUACUGUCGAUCAUUAUACUUGUAUCCAUUCCUUCCAUUGCUAUCUUACAUAGUUUCAGCAUUUAUUUACCCGUGCCCCCCUUUCAAUGUGCACUAUCACUUGAGAUAUGACUUUCAAGAUGACUGAAUUCUUUAGGAACAAUACAUCAAAAUGACUGAAUUUUUUAGUUUUUGUUAUUAAAAAAAACUGAUAAAUUGCACUUUUAUCCAAUUUUGGACCUUAAGAUGAAUGAAAAAUAAGUGAAAAUAGGUUACGUGACAUAAUCCUGACCCUCGGAUCUUAAACAAAUGGAACACAUAGCAACUUUUUGAUAGUUUAAAGGGUGCAAUCCAUCAGUAUUGAUAGUUUUGUAUGCAAAUGUAAAGCGC